rnacentral:rRNA from 1 species
UUUGAUGGCGACCGGCGCACGGGUGAGUAACACGUAUCCAACCUGCCGAUGACUCGGGGAUAGCCUUUCGAAAGAAAGAUUAAUACCCGAUGGCAUAGUUCUUCCGCAUGGUAGAACUAUUAAAGAAUUUCGGUCAUCGAUGGGGAUGCGUUCCAUUAGGUUGUUGGCGGGUAACGGCCCACCAAGCCUUCGAUGGAUAGGGGUUCUGAGAGGAAGGUCCCCCACAUUGGAACUGAGACACGGUCCAA